rnacentral:rRNA from 1 species
GUAGGUGAACCUGCGGAAGCAUCAUUUA